AUUGAACGCUGGCGGCAGGCCUAAUACAUGCAAGUCGAACGAGUCGCGGACGGGUGUGUAAUGUCUGUGAAACUGCCCGUUGGAGGGGGAUACCUACUGGAAACAGUACUUAAUACCGCUUACAAUCGGUUGUCUCCAGCUUGGCUGCGCUUGUAGGGGGGGUAACGGCUCACCUAGGCGACGACCCCUAGCUGGUCUGAGAGGAUGACCAGCAACACUGGAAAUGGGACACGGUCCAGACUCCUACGGGAGGCAGCAGGGGGGAAUAUUGCACAAUGGGCGCAAGCCUGAUGCAGCCAUGCCGCGGGUAUGAAGAAGGCCUUCGGGUUGUAAAGUACUUUCAGCGAGGAGGCGUUACUCGCAGAAGAAGCAUCGGCUAACUCCGUGCCAGCAGCCGCGGUAAUAC
rnacentral:rRNA from 1 species